GUAAGUCCACGCCGUAAACGAUGAGUGCUAAGUGUUAGAGGGUUUUCCCCCCUUUAGUGCUGAAGUUAACGCAUUAAGCACUCCGCCUGGGGAGUACGGCCGCAAGGCUGAAACUCAAAGGAAUUGACGGGGGCCCGCACAAGCGGUGGAGCAUGUGGUUUAAUUUGAAGCAACGCGAAGAACCUUACCAGGUCUUGACAUCCUCUGAAAACCCUAGAGAUAGGGCUUCUCCUUCGGGAGCAGAGUGACAGGUGGUGCAUGGUUGUCGUCAGCUCGUGUCGUGAGAUGUUGGGUUAAGUCCCGCAACGAGCGCAACCCUUGAUUUUAGUUGCCAUCAUUAAGUUGGGCACUCUAAGGUGACUGCCGGUGACAAACCGGAGGAAGGUGGGGAUGACGUCAAAUCAUCAUGCCCCUUAUGACCUGGGCUACACACGUGUUACAAUGGACGGUACAAAGAGCUGCAAGACCGCGAGGUGGAGCUAAUCUCAUAAAACCGUUCUCAGUUCGGAUUGUAGGCUGCAACUCGCCUACAUGAAGCUGGAAUCGCUAGUAAUCGCGGAU
rnacentral:rRNA from 1 species